rnacentral:lncRNA from 1 species
CAGACCCUUAGAACACUAUCAUCUGAGAAGUUCUACAUUAGAAGGAAAAAGAAAGGAAAAAAGGAAGUUGGGAGGAUUGGUGUUGACAGCAGAUCAACUGGGAGAGUCUAAAUGACAGAAUUUAGGAAUCCUUACUCUCUGAAGAGAGAUGCUAACAAGGAGCCAGGAAAAGCAUUGUAUGUGAAGGAGUCCAACCAGGACAGAAAAUGCAGAAGAGAUGGCUUUGUAAUACUGGAAGGUGGACCCUUCCCUGAGCCACUGAUGAAACUGAAGGGCAUCCUAUGACUUAGCUAAGAUGCUUAAGAAUGUCAUUUCUAUCCACCGUUAUUUCAACAAGUCAUCUAGGACAUUUCUAGUUCCAAGUGAAGAGACAAAUAGGUGCUGUUUCUUUUGAAGUAGCAGGAUAAAUACACAUGAAGGGAAGAAUCUUGAAGCAAACGUUCAGACAUGAACUUGCCAUACUUUUAAUAAAGCAUUGAUGUGUUUUCA